UGGGGAAUAUUGGACAAUGGGCGAAAGCCUGAUCCAGCCAUGCCGCGUGUGUGAAGAAGGUCUUCGGAUUGUAAAGCACUUUAAGUUGGGAGGAAGGGCAUUAACCUAAUACGUUAGUGUUUUGACGUUACCGACAGAAUAAGCACCGGCUAACUCUGUGCCAGCAGCCGCGGUAAUACAGAGGGUGCAAGCGUUAAUCGGAAUUACUGGGCGUAAAGCGCGCGUAGGUGGUUUGUUAAUUUGGAUGUGAAAUCCCCGGGCUCAACCUGGGAACUGCAUUCAAAACUGACUGACUAGAGUAUGGUAGAGGGUGGUGGAAUU
rnacentral:rRNA from 1 species